UGUGGGCCAGUGUCUUUGAGCACAAAUAGCUUUGAAUUAUUUAGAAGAUAUAAAAAAUCUGCCUACAU
rnacentral:tRNA from 1 species